CAGCUGGGUGGAUGGCUGGAAACCAGCCAAGGUCAACCCAGCACAGAUGGGUAACUCUGCAUGGUCAUGGUGGAGAAGAAAACUCAGAAUGCUGAAAUUUUUCUUUCACUUUCCUAAGCUGAGGGUUAAAUCAUAUUUAGUGCUUUUAGUUAUUGUUGUUUACCUGAAUUUUCAAAAUUCAGGUUUUCUAUUGCAAGGAAAUGAGUGAAUUGCUAUCAUUGUUCCUUUUCUGUUUGAGACAGUUUGUGGUAUUUUCUCUCCUAGGCAGAAAUGUCAGCAAGAAAGUGGCAGAGCUCUACAGCUGUGGUCUGGUUUUGCUGUUUGAAGUUUACAGUUCUGCUGAGAAAGCCAUGAAGACUUCCAAAGCAAUGCUGUGAAAAUCAAGUGUGUUCCCACAGGCACCAUUGAUACCAUGAUCCUUCCCAAGACUAUUCUCCAGGACAAGUGGGUCCUCUUUGCUGACAAAGCAACCUUUAUGCUGGCAUCACACUAUUGCUGUCAGAUUCCCUCAUUUCCACCCAGCCACAGAUCCAAAAUGUUGAGGAAAGCUCCAAGAUUAGAGGUACCUGCUUUUAACACCUCAAGAUCUUUGGGGCAGGAUGUGCAAGGGGUCAUGCUGUACUUUGAGUCCAUUUCAGUGCCAUCUCACCGUGCCAGGGGUCCCACUGAAGCCAAAUGACUGUGGAGCAUUUAAACACUACUGUAAGGAUAAACAAUGGUAAGCAAUAAUAUUAUUUCUAACCAUAAAGUAAUGCUAAGCAUCCUUUAAUGCUGUCAGACUCAGCUAGGACUCCUGGAUCUGUGUAUGCCAUGGAAGCAAAAACAUUCUUGUUCAACAGCUUUGAGAAAACCCCACUAGAAAACACCACAGUUGCACACACGGCAGACGUAACCAUUCAUAGCCUAACUCAGAAUCCACUGAACGGAUUGUUCUUGAGACAUCUUUUGUUUUUCCUUCCUCAAGAAGGGUGAUAAAUCAAGCUAAGUUAAAAAUUUUAUAGCUACAGCUGGUUUUGACUUAUGCAAAUGCAACAUUUCAAUCACAGCAUAUGGGAAAAGCAUAUUUUUCUCCCUUCCCUCACAUAACUCAAAAGCUGAU